AGAAAGUGGCACAAAGAAACAGUACCAUUGGUUCAAAAUGAAUACGUCUGCUAAAUGACGUAAAUGUAAAUGUAAAUACUGCAUUGGUUGGCACAUGCAUUGCAUAGAGCCCCUUAUAGUCAUUGGUCAUACAGAGAGACAGGUACUGCAUAGAGCCCCUUAUAGUCAUUAGUCAUACAGAGAGCCAGGUACUGCAUAGAGCCCCUUAUAGUCAUUAGUCAUACAGAGAGACAGGUACUGCAUAGAGUCCCUUAUAGUCAUUAGUCAUACAGAGAGACAGGUACUGCAUAGAGUCCCUUAUUGUCAUUGGUCAUACAGAGAGACAGGUACUGCAUAGAGCCCCUUAUUGUCAUUGGUCAUACAGAGAGACAGGUACUGCAUAGAGUCACUUAUUGUCAUUGGUCAUACAGAGAGACAGGUACUGCAUAGAGCCCCUUGUAGUCAUUAGUCAUACAGAGAGACAGGUACUGCAUAGAGCCCCUUAUAGUCAUUAGUCAUACAGAGAGACAGGUACUGCAUAGAGCCCCUUAUAGUCAUUAGUCAUACAGAGAGACAGGUACUGCAUAGAGUCCCUUAUAGUCAUUAGUCAUACAGAUCUCUAAUAGAGUUAUUCUCCCUUAUUAUGUUCUUGGUCUUUUCUCAGGUCUGUUGGUG